UGAGUAACACGUGGGCAAUCUGCCCUGCACUUCGGGAUAAGCCUGGGAAACUGGGUCUAAUACCGGAUAGGACCUUUAGACGCAUGUCUUUUGGUGGAAAGCUUUUGCGGUGUGGGAUGGGCCCGCGGCCUAUCAGCUUGUUGGUGGGGUGAUGGCCUACCAAGGCGACGACGGGUAGCCGGCCUGAGAGGGUGUCCGGCCACACUGGGACUGAGAUACGGCCCAGACUCCUACGGGAGGCAGCAGUGGGGAAUAUUGCACAAUGGGCGCAAGCCUGAUGCAGCGACGCCGCGUGGGGGAUGACGGCCUUCGGGUUGUAAACCUCUUUCACCAUCGACGAAGGUCCGGGUUUUCUCGGAUUGACGGUAGGUGGAGAAGAAGCACCGGCCAACUACGUGCCAGCAGCCGCGGUAAUACGUAGGGUGCGAGCGUUGUCCGGAAUUACUGGGCGUAAAGAGCUCGUAGGUGGUUUGUCGCGUUGUUCGUGAAAUCUCACGGCUUAACUGUGAGCGUGCGGGCGAUACGGGCAGACUAGAGUACUGCAGGGGAGACUGGAAUUCCUGGUGUAGCGGUGGAAUGCGCAGAUAUCAGGAGGAACACCGGUGGCGAAGGCGGGUCUCUGGGCAGUAACUGACGCUGAGGAGCGAAAGCGUGGGGAGCGAACAGGAUUAGAUACCCUGGUAGUCCACGCCGUAAACGGUGGGUACUAGGUGUGGGGUUUCCUUCCUUGGGAUCCGUGCCGUAGCUAACGCAUUUAAGUACCCCCGCCUGGGGGAGUACGGGCCGCAAGGCUAAAACUCAAAAGGAAUUUGACGGGGGGCCCCGCACAA
rnacentral:rRNA from 1 species